CGAAAAAUGUGACGGUAAAUUUUUUUCCAACGCCGAUAAGGAAGUUUCACUUCAAAUAUUAUAAUUUUUUUAAAUUCUCCGGGUCUCUAUUCUAAAUAGCUAUUCUUUAUUCUUUUGAUGAAAGUUUGUCUUCGAUUCAGAGUAAAUACCUGCGUAGAUGCUCUAUAUUACAUCUCUAUUGUACAGUCUUUGGAGGAAAAAACAGCGUAUCAAACGAAAUGAGAUAAUGUCACAGUAAAAUGGUGGUUGUUCAGCGAGACUUCAAGGGGCUUUUUGGAUUUGCUCCGUGAAAGUCCGUUUUGAUAAUAUCAUAUUGCCAGUGCCAACAGCCGUCUUUGUAACGUAGUUUAAAUUGCGUGCGUGAAAUUUAGAACAACUUUACAGUUUUUUUUCUAAACUUGUUUGAUGGCCCUCUUUGCAAAUGAUUUCAAAAUAAAAGAAUAAUUUGCAGCAUUGGAUAAUGCCAUAGCUUGUCGCACUCAUCAGCAUAGCCAUUGUUUUCAAUAAACCGUAUGUCGUAACGA